UACGAAGGGAGCUAGCGUUGUUCGGAAUCACUGGGCGUAAAGCGCACGUAGGCGGACGUGUCAGUCAGGGGUGAAAUCCCGGAGCUCAACUUCGGAACUGCCUUUGAUACAGCACGUCUUGAGUCCGGAAGAGGUGGGUGGAACUCCGAGUGUAGAGGUGAAAUUCGUAGAUAUUCGGAAGAACACCAGUGGCGAAGGCGGCUCACUGGUCCGGUACUGACGCUGAGGUGCGAAAGCGUGGGGAGCAAACAGG
rnacentral:rRNA from 1 species